GACGAACGCUGGCGGCGUGCUUAACACAUGCAAGUCGAACGAGUGGCGAACGGGUGAGUAUUACGUGAGUAACCUGCCCUAAAUGGGGGAUAAGCCUGGGAAACUGGGUCUAAUACUGCAUAGUGGGGGAUGGGCUCGCGGCCUAUCAGGUUGUUGGUGGGGGGAUGGCCUACCAAGGCGGUGACGGGUAGCCGGCCGGAGAGGGUGGUCGGCCACAGUGGGACUGAGAUACGGCCCAGACUCCUACGGGAGGCAGCAGUGGGGAAUAUUGCACAAUGGGCGCAAGCCUGAGGCAUCCAUGCCGCGUGUAUGAAGAAGGCCUGCGGGUUGUAAAGUACUUUCACGAGGAAUGCGUUACUCUCUGAAGGAGCACCGGCUAACUCCGUGACAGCAGCCGCGGUAAUUC
rnacentral:rRNA from 1 species